rnacentral:ncRNA from 2 species
CCCUGAGUUGCAAUUCCCUGCUGAUCUCACAUUAAUUCAUCUUUGCUAGAGAAAUAUCUGAGUGUCUGUUUUGGUUCAAUAAAGCC